GGGCUGGUGGUAGGAUGGCGGCGGCCAUGGUGAGCUCGGCGGAGCGAGCGGUGCUGGAAGAAGAGUUUAAAUGGCUGUUACAGGAAGAGGUCCAUGCUGUUUUGAAACAGCUGCAGGAUAUUUUGAAGGAGGCCUCCCACAGGUUCGCCCUGCCAGCGGGGGGCUCGGAAGGAGCAGCCAAGCAGGAGAGCUUCGUGCUGAGUGUGGCAGGCAUGGACCAGGUAAAAGGUGUGUUGACACUGCAAGGAGAUGCCUUGUGUCAAGCUGACCUUAAUUUGAAAAUGCCCAGAAGUAAUCAGCUCCUGCAUUUUGCAUUCCGGGAAGACAAGCAGUGGAAACUGCAGCAGAUCCAGGAUGCUAGAAACCAUGUUAACCAAGCAAUUUACCUGCUUAUGAACAGAGAUGUAAACUACCACUUCAAGACAGGCUCAGAGGUUCUCAAGCUUAUGGAUGCUGUGAUGUUACAGCUCUCAAGAGCACGGAAUCGACUCACCACUCCAGCCACUCUGACUCUACCAGAAAUUGCCUCCAGUGGUCUCACAAAAAUGUUCAGCCCUGCUCUUCCUCCAGACAUCCUUGUGAAUUUCUAUAUAAACCUGAAUAAGCUGUGCCUGACUGUCUACCAACUCCACGUGCUACAGCCCAGCACGACCAAGAACUUCAAGCCUGCUGGAGGAUCCAUCCUGCACAACCCUGGAGCCAUGUUUGAGUUCGGCAACCAGCGGUAUGAAGUCAGCCAUGUCCAUAAAAUGGAGUCCGUUGUCCCAUGGUUAAAUGAUGCCCUUGUCUUCUUCACAGUUUCACUGCAGCUUUGCCAGCAACUGAAGGACAAGAUUUCAGUUUUCUCCAGUUACUGGAACUACAAGCCAUAUUAAUUCCCUGUGGACCUUCCGAACCCUUAAAACACUUCCAGUGUCUCCCUGUUUGUUUUCUGUGUGCCACUUGAGUCCAGGUCAGCCUGUGAGGAGUGCUGUGAUUCGCUUACCUCAUGGUCCUCUUCAGGGUAGGGUCAAUGGACCUGGAGGCACAUGUCUGGUAGCCUUGUCUGGGAAUAAUGCAUGAGCAGGGCACCAAGCAAUACUGUGUGGUUGGUGGGAGCUUCCACCUGUCUUCAUUGUGUGGUUUAUGCUUUGCCAACCUCUGACAAACAUCAGUCCCUUACAAGGGAUGGGGAGCUGUGGAUCAACCACGUUCAGUAACAGUAUUUGCACACAGUGCUAUCACUAACUGCUGGACUGUGAGCUGGUUGGGAAGGGGUGAAAUUAGACUCAUCUAACACACCACAAAAAGUGCAUGGCAUGUUGGUCCAGCUGCAGUUAUGACUAGUUCAGCUUUUCUCUCCAAUCUGUUCUGGCCAUACCCGUGUUACUGAUUCCCCUUUGAAGAUAUUGUUACUUGCUACUAUUUGAGCUUUUUUUCCUUGGCAUCAAUGUGAUCAUCUGUAUUAUUUAUUUUUCCUAAACCCCAGUCCAGCCACUUGGUUUUUUUCCAGGUGUGGUAUCUCAUUUUCAUUGCCAGCUUUUGGAGCUGCCUUGGUACCUUGAACACAGCUGUGCAGUCUCACAUCCUGUCAUUAAACUCAAAGUCCCCCCAGAUAUACUGGUCCAAAAUAUGGUGGGCUGUCAUGCCCUGGAGACGUCGUCCAGUUCCCCCUCAGAUUUGGACAGCAAGAGGAAGCUUUCUGGUUGGCCUUGGCUACACAGGUGGUACCAGCAGGUCCCUGCUGCAGGCUGACACCAGGCUAGAAGGACACCAUCACACCACCGAGAGAGAGAUGGGGUGUCCAGCUAAAACCUUGCUGUGUCCAGCUUGGGCAGGAGUUUGAUGGCUUGAGGCGAGGGAGAGCAUGUGACCAUAGGACCAUAUGUUGAUGCAGCAAGGUGAUGAUGGUGACCUCUUGGCAAACCCUGGACCAACCCCAUCCAGAAACUCUUCCUCUGAACCUCCUCCUGCCUGGGCCUGGUCUGAGGAUGAACGGAGAGGCUCAGUGAUCUUGUCAGGCAGAUAAGUCACAGUCAGCCCUCUUCAAAGGCCGAUCUAAAGAGAACAAAAAGACAGGGAAUACCUCCAUGCCUCUCUGCAAAUCAAAUAAGCUGCCGCGCCAUGAAGCAACACAAUGCAGAGAUAAAUUAGAGGACUUGAAGCUGGAAAAUGCCUGCUGGGAGGGGCCUGAACUCUAUCGUCACACAGACACCCGUGGGCUUCUGCAGAGAAAUGAUGCCAUCACUAUCAGGGAAGGCUAAGCAGGCACCCGUGCAGCACACAGUGACAGCAGCCCCAUAUCCCUGGCUCUGGGAUGUGGUACAGAGAACUCAAAAUCCUAACAGAAUAAAAUGAACUUGCUGAGGAACAAAAAAAGAAAGUCAAAAACUACAAGCUUACCUAGAUGAUGAUAUCUCAUCAAACCAGAAAUAUUCACCUUCAUCUCCACAAGUCUUAUUCCCAGAUGCAUGAAGAUAACCACACAGUUUUGGCAGCUUUUCCUACGAAGUCCCAACAGCAGCAAGAAAUAUCCCAGAAAUCACAGUGAGGAAUCCUUCGUAUUUCGGACGUCAGUGGAAGGAUCUGACAAAAUCUGCUGAGACAAAGACCUGGCCUUGAAUGGAAUUAAACCAACCAGCUGCUGGAUGCUGUUGCUCUGCCACAUCCACAUCAGACACUAAUGUAACCUAGAAGAUUGCUUCAGAAUCUUGCCAAACAAUGAUGGAAUGCUGUUUAGAGGUGCCUGUUGAGCAUACAUGAACACUAUCCAACAUGGAAAAAAACCUGGUUUGCCUCUGGAAGAGUCUGCAGAAAUAGCAGGGGACAAGGCAGUCUACGAUGAUUCUGAAAUCUGUUCCUUUCUAUUGAUUUUCAGCUGCUAAAUAUAAAUUACUAGUCGUGUUACAAGCUUAG